rnacentral:lncRNA from 1 species
AGGACCAUAUAUGUGACCAACCAGGGGAGACACACUCGCAGUCACCUGAGAUCUGCUGGCUUUCUGGGUGAGGAAUCUCCCUAAAAAUAAAAGACCUGGAUAUGGUGUAAAAUGAGAACAUUUGACAAUGAGAAAAAACAGAAGACUAUGGAGAAUUGAAGCACAGAGAGAUGUAAGCAUCCCUUCCAAAAAUCACACAGCUACGGUGCAGAGAUUUGGGUUCAGAGCACGUGCUCCAUUCCACCAAAAUGUGAUGCCUCCCUUUAGGAAGGCAGCAAAGACUCACUCAAUUACAAUAUCACUAUCAGUUCACAUUACAGGUCAGAGAUACGGCGCUUAAUGUAUGUAGAGCCAGUCCUCCUCUCCUAAUAACCUGUCAUUCCGGGGAUUUGAAUGUCAGAACACAGCCUGCCGCGGUAAUGCUAGUCGGCAGCCCGAUGAUGAAAACUUUGGACAAAUCAUGAAGAACAUUCCAGAUCCACAUCGUCGGAAGGUUACCGGGGAGAGCCUUUCAUUCUGCUUUGACCCCUUGAUCUGACAAGUGACACCUACAAAAUGAACAGCUCUCCAACUUAAAUUGUUUAACUGUAGCCUGAUCAGUUUUAUUAUCUUGCUAAUCCGGAUAUCAGCCGUUUCAUCAGAAUGGAAGAUAUGCAUAUCAUGAAUUAUUUUGACACGGGGACCUUUUAAUUUUUGCCAGCAAUAUUUCACUGCCCCAAUCAGGGCCUGCAGUCACUGGUGCUGUUCGCCUCCUGGGCUGUCAGAGGACAGCGCACUCCUGACAGCACCAAAUCAUCCGGGAGCUGGAACGAGCCUUCGCUGCAAUUAUUAUUGUCUUCCGUAGUCAUGCAUUUCAUUACGGCGCAGGCAGCCAGGGCCUUGGGGUUCAGGACAGCCUUCUCCAGGAAGCUCUGCCAUUUUAUGGGCUUGUGGAGCUCUGGGGUGUGAUUUCCCCUCUCCUUCCCCUCAGUAGACAAGGCGAGGUGAAUUUCUAAUAAAAACAAAACACGAGGCCGGCACUGCGGGAAGAGCAAGCUCAGUACAGGACAUUAAGCAGCAGUGAGGCAGCGUGAAUGGCCCACUUGAAGUUUAUGAAAGCAGUGGUUAAUCAGCAAUAUGGUUUGCUACAGAGAGAAAUAAAGAACAGUUUAUCGGGGCGGGGUGGAGGGGCAACGCUCCUUUCUAAAUUGCAAAGUGCUCAGAACGCUUUCUUAAAGAAAACUCCCUUUUCCCUUAGAUGUGUUUCUUAAUUUCUCUCUCCCCUGUGGACCAUUUUCUCCUUUUGAAUUUCCAUCCUAAGAGGAUCCAGCCCCCACUCGAAGCCUGGUCCGCAUGGUCUGCAUCACCGACCUGUGCUCUGGCACUGUGCCAUCAUCCGCACGGAACAGCCUCUAGAAACGCGCUGUCAUCUUUACUCUGAGGUGAUUACAGAGACUGUCGCUCAUCAAAACUCAAGGCACCUUCUUUCUAAGUACCUG